UGAAGAAUUUGAGAUCACCAAAGAUUUUUCAUUGGUAAGUGAACUACUUUGUGAGAAUCCAGUUGAACAUUUCAGAAAAUUCACCUCUGUUUCCCCCAGCACUUUGACAAAAGUUCCAUUCAUUGUUACUUUCCACUCAAGAGUCCCAGCAACCACCCCAAAGGAUGCGCUAGGUGUUUGUGCUGCCUCCCAGAGUUCUUCACUAUCUUGUUGGAGUAUGUAACAAUUGCCCAGCAUGUAAUGAACACCUAACACCUACUCUAUGCCAGAAAUCAUACUAGACCCUUUAUAUUACCUCUAAUCCUCCAAACAAAUAUGGAAGUAGGUGUUAGUAUUCUCAUUUGGCAACAGGGACAUGGGA
rnacentral:lncRNA from 1 species